AGCAGCCGCGGUAAUUCCAGCUCCAAUAGCGUAUAUUAAAGUUGUUGCAGUUAAAAAGCUCGUAGUUGAAUUUCGGGGCCAGUAGGUUGGUCGUGCCACUGGUAUGUACUGGCCUUACUGGUCCCUCCCUCUUGUAGAACCGUGAUGCCAUUAAUUUGGUGUUGCGGGGAAACAGGACUGUUACUUUGAAAAAUUAGAGUGCUUAAAGCAGGCUCGCGCUUGAAUACAUUAGCAUGGAAUAACGGAAUAGGACGAUCGAACCUAUUUUGUUGGUUUCUAGGAUCGACGUAAUGAUUAAUAGGGAUAGUUGGGGGCAUUAGUAUUCAAUUGUCAGAGGUGAAAUUCUUGGAUUUAUUGAAGACUAACUACUGCGAAAGCAUUUGCCAAGGAUGUUUUCAUUAAUCAAGAACGAAAGUUAGGGGAUCGAAGACGAUCAGAUACCGUCGUAGUCUUAACCAUAAACUAUGCCGACUAGGGAUCGGAUGAAGUUAAUUUUUAAUGACUCAUUCGGCGCCUUACG
rnacentral:rRNA from 1 species